rnacentral:lncRNA from 1 species
AUAUGUACAAAUGCCAGCAAGAGUUCAGCAAGAGCCGCGGGUAUGAGAAUCUGCACGAAGUGGGGAAGUCAAGACAACCGUGGUGCUGGGUGAGUCUGGUGCUCGCAGGAAGCAGAGGGGUUUUCUGGCUAGAACAGAAAGUACCUGAGAGAGGAGGGAGAAGACCAGCCUUGUGGGGGUGACUCGGGGUCAUAACGGAACGUCAACCCCAAUCCUUUAGUUUGUGUUUUACCGCUAGUUGAGUGAGCGCUCUUGACUCUGGAUGGUCUCCACUAACACUACCAACAAGAAUUUUUCCUGAAGCCCUUCUAGGGAAGUGGCUGUUUGAACCCCACCAAGAGGCCCUUUCUCCAACAGUGUGCACACUCCCGGAGCCCCUCCACACAAAUGUUUCAUGUGGUGUAGCCGAGAAUUAAUUAGAAAAAGAAAAAAAAUCUCUCAAGUCAAAACACAUAUCUCACAACCUAUUAGCAUUAAGAUUAGCAUUAAAGAAAGUUGGAAACUAUAACAUUUUAAGCACAAUUUAUAAGUCUAAUUUCCUGUGUGUCACUCUCAGAUAAUAAAUGCUUUUCCUUCAAGUUGAAAAGUCUUGGUGGGGUGGGGGUGGGGGGGGAGAAAAGAAAACGUUAAUUUAAGGCCUAUUAGUUUAUUUUUAGUUGCCCAAGAUCUGAGGGACUGAGAACAUUUCCCUUUUCUGAUAGAACACGCCUUCCUGUGUAGCAAGGAAGUCCUCUGACCUCAGGCCUCCUCAAGGUGCUACUGAUUUUUGACAGAAUUCCUCAGGCAAGGACUUUGAAAAGAGGCUAAGCCGGGCCUGCAAGGGGAGGGCGAUCCGAGGUCCUGAGGGACAAGGUUAAUUGCUUGGAGCAUUGGAGAAUGGCGUGGUGAGGCAAGGGGAUGCCGGGUGACCAGGAGGCCCGCUUCCUGUAUUGCUCUGGAAGAAGUUCGUCGCCCACGGCUUCCAUAAUAAGACAUUCCUGCUAAUUUGCCAGGAGCUGAAAGGGAUUUCUGUUUUUAGCUUUGGGUCUGUGGCAACUGUUUUGUUUUAAACGAAAAUUAAAUGGGGACGUGGAGCUGGAGUUGGGGGAUGGGAGGCAGAGCCAUAAUUGAAGUGCAUUACUGGUAAUUACCUCGUUCUUUCUUUCACUCAUCAUGUUGACAGAGAAAUCUAUUACCCAGCAGCUCCGUUUCCACAAAUUGCCCUUCCCUGAGGACUUGGGGGUGGGGGGGUGGGGAGUGGGCCACGGUGGUGCUGGAGGAAAUCACUGCUUUGUUCGAGAGAGUGGGCCUCCAGCCAUCCCCAGAACAUGGCUCCGCUGUCCCGCACCCAGAGGGAGGGGAAGGGAGUGAGGACCCUGAGAGAGGACGAGGGAGUCACCUGGCGAGAAGGGUCUUGUCCCAACCAGGCCUUACCAUGCAGAUCCAUUUGGCGUGCCGCGUAGAAGGAUGGAGAUAAAGCCUCAUCACUGUCUGAAAAAAAUGAAAGGAAGUUGGAGGCAACCAUUGACGGAAGUAGCAGCCCCGUUUUGAAAGCUCUUGUGUGCCUGCGCAAUGCGGUAGGGCUCUUCACGUGGGAGAUGAGCCCCGGAGGGGCCUGUUCCCGUCGCUGCAACUGCCAGUGGCCCGCCCUUGGGUCCCUCCCUCCAUCUCUCUCAUUUCGCUCUUCUCGUGUCAACUUCCCUGCCCCCUGUCGCUCUCUCCUUCCUUCUUCAGCUCCCGUGUCUUGCCCUCCUCUCUCCUCUCACCUUCGAGCUCCGUGUGGCCUCACCUCCCAGAGGCCGGUCUCCCCUCCGACUCCACUCUGCCAACAGACCAAGUUGGAAGGAUUGGAGAGGGUUUUGACACUGGCGUUCCUCUCCGUCCUUCCAAAUCCUCUCUUAGACUGAGGCCUCCGGCAUGUGUUAGGGCUUUGGAAGCCUACCGGGCAGUAAGAAGAAAAAAUGAGCAGGGGGUGAUCUCAGUAGAGCCCCUGGCUUCAGGCCUCUUCCUCCUUGGUCCUCAGCAUUGGCUCCUUCAACAACAUAUACUGAGCCCCAACUGUCAGUGAGGAUUCAAAGACAGAGCAAGACACUCACCCUGUCCUUAAGAGGUUUAUGUUUGGCAUAGCAGUGAGGUGGGGGUGGGGGAAGGCAUUUCAUUACACUUUGAGCCUAAAGCAAAAUGCCACCAAGGCGAAGGGGCCACGAGACCUGGUGUCUGCUCCAUGUUUCAUUCAGUGCACAAUCCAGCACCCGCAAUGAUUUCGAAGCAACAGAAAUCCUAACUUCAGUGUCUAAAGGGAAUAUCAAAGGAAGAUUGCAUUCAUAACACAGGACAAAGCUUCCGAAAAUCCUUUUUUAAUAAAGCGAUUUCAAUCUCUGCCUAAAACCAGCUUUCCAUUCUCUGUGCUUCCACCAGUAACUCCCUGCCUUGUCCAGUGUAAAUCCUGCUUGCUGCCUCAGUUCUUGCAACUUUUCGGCCUGGUGCCCCUUUGCUUCCUCGCUCCGUGCGCUGCCUAGACAGAGACCGCCUCUUCAGGGUGGUGGGAAAGUCUUGGCUUUGAGGUAUUUUCCUUGCCAGUCUGCAGCUCUUGUGGGCACAUCACCCCGUUCCCCAGCCCAGCUCGUCCUUGAGCUUGAGAGGCACAUUACAGGGGUCCAGCACAAGCCUAGCUGUGACCACGUGACCACGCCUUGUGGGAAGGUAUGACUAAAGACCAUGGGUGCAGGCAGCCCCCUGAGAGCUGCUGGUGGCACCACACUGCUGGCAUACAGACUUGGCAUAAGCCCGGCCUAAGACCUGGCGUACAGUAGGAGCAAAGCAGGAGAAAAUGUCUGCUGAUGGGUCUGACCUGAGAAUUGCCUCCCCCAAAGUGGGAGAAGUAUUAGCGGGAAAGAGCUAUAUGGAUCUAUAUCAGAUCCCGGGUAAAUAACACUGGAGGGGACCCUGCAAUGGGGGGCUAGUCAAAGUCUCAAGAUACCUCCUCUUUAGGUAUCCCAUGGGGCUAUAGCCCUCUCCCCUUUCCUCACGCCCUUCCCAGGGGACCCAGGUAUCCUUGGAGGGGACAGGUCUGGGGGCUUUCAGAUGCCUUUUACAAGGAAAUGACUUCUCCUGACUCCCCUCCUUUCGGGUCUCCUAUAGCCAGUUACUCAGGGAGAGUCAUGAACGGUCCAACCGUCCUCAACUUACUUGGCUAAGAUCCACUUGAGAAGCACGUUGUGCCCUCCAACUGGAAUUGUGUGACUUCCCUGGAGUCACCUUAAAACAGCAAUCCAAGUGGAAGGUGCCACUUGCUGCGUACCUACUGUGCACCAGGCCCCUGCAUGCUGGGCGCUCCUACAUUUUUUUUUCCUAAUCCUCAACAACACUGUGAUGAGUAUUGUUGUCCUUAUUUUAAAGGUAAAGAAACUGAGGCUCAGAGAGCGUAAGCAGAAUUACCCCAAAUCACACAACUUGUUACAUAACCAGAUUUUGAGCUCAGACCUUUUUUAAAAAAAACAUUUAAAAAAUAUUUAUUUAUUUAUUAUUGAAAGAGAGAAUGUGAGCAGGGGAGGGGCAGAGAGGAGAGGACAGAUCUGAAGGGGGCUCUGUGCUGACAGCAGUGAGCCCAACUCGGGCCUUGAACCCACGAACCAUGGGAUCAUGACCUGAGGCCAAGUCAGACGCUCAACCGACAGAGCCACCCAGGUGCCCCAAACUCAGACCUUUCUGACUCCCGAACCUAGGCUGUUUCUACCAGCUCUGCUACUCUCCAAGCUGAAUGGCAGUCAGCUCUUUCAUUGCCCUAAAGAAGAAGGAGGAGGAGGGGCCAAGUGGCCUUUUUGGAAACCUUCUCACGUCAUGGUUAUUCCCUCGUCAUGAAAGCUUCACCUAAGAUCCUUGGAUGAGGAUAUCCGACCCUGAAACAAGAGUGGGUCUGACUGCCAUUUCAGACCCCUGUGCUAGAAGGCUGCCUAUGGCCAUUCACAGGAGGAAAAGGACUCCGCCAGAAUGUUAUUCCAUCUCAGAUUCAUGGUAACCAGCCUCAGGACUGGGGAAGACAGACCGCCCUGCCAAACUCUUACCAGUCACGGAGGCUCCCGGUGGACCCUAAACUAUCAGCUCUAGUUUUUUAUCUUGACAGUUCACUGUGCACAUUUUAAAUGAAUUGAACCUACCUGAGGCCACUGAAUUUAGUUCAACAUUCAUGGACCACCAUUCUUGGCCAGGUACUAGGAGGAGUUAGGUACAGAGAGAGAAACGGGGCAUAGCCCUUGCCCUUGGGGUGAUGGACUGCGCCAGCCAACUUGGAAAGCACUUUUAGAGAAGAACAGGGGUGUGGGGAGCAGGGGAGCCACAGUGGACCCAGUCCAAUGGAGAGGAAGGCAGGGAAGAAAUACUUCUUGGAAAAUAUGUAAAAGACUCCAGUGACGUCUAAAAGGCUCCCAAUCCCAGAAGUAAAGUGUGAGUUCACAGAUAUUAUGGAACUACUCUGUUUGUUAAGAGCCAAAGUCAUAAAGGAAGAAGAGGGGGGUUUUGCUUGCUUUGAUUUUUGUUUGCAAUAUCGAUUGAUUGAUUGAUUGAUUUAGAGACAGAGAGACAGAGCACGAGUAUGAGUUGUGGAGGGGCAGAGAGAGAGGCAGAGAGAGAGAGAAUCCCAAGCAGGCUCUACACUGUCAGCGCAGAGCCCAAUGUGGGGCUGGAACUCACGAACCCUGAGAUCAUGACCUGAGUCAAAAUCAAGAGUCGGACGCUUAACUGACUGAGCCACUCAGGGGCCCCUGUUUGCAUUUUUUUGAAAACCCUGGAAGAUGUCCAUCUAUAGAUGAAUGGAUAAGACGUCGUGAGACACACACACACACACACACACACACACACACACAGAGGACUAUUACUCAGCCAUAAAAAGAGUGAAAUCCUGCCGUUUGCCACAACAUGGGUGGACCUAAAGAGUAUUAUGCUAAGUAAAAUAAGUCAGAGAAAGACAAAUACCAUGCGAUUCCACUCAUUUGUGGAACUCGAGAAACGAAACAAACAGACAAGGAAAAAAGAAACAAAAAACCAGACUCUUAAAUACAGAACAAAGUGGUGGUUGCCAGAGGGGAGAUGGGUGGGGGAUGGGUGAAAUAGAAGAAGGGGACUGAGAGGACACUUACCAUGAUGAGCGCUGAGUAAUGUAUAGAAGUGUUGAAUCAUUAUAUUGUACACCUGAAACUAAUAUCACACUGAAUAUUAAUUGCACUGCAAUAAUAAUAACAAUACAAAAAAACCCCGGGGCAGACCUCCCCGCUUCACUACCCAGGGCUGUACCCACAGGUGUGGAGGCUCCGACAGGCGCAGGCGAUGGGAGCGGUCAGUUUGGUUUUCUUUGGCUGCAUGUGCCAACAUGAGAAUGAAGGAGAAAAGAAAAAGAGCAGAGGACGAAGAGUCUUUUGCUUGAAUUCAGUUAUUUCCCCAAGGCACUGCUCACACAGCACGGGCCUCCAUUUUAGUUAUUUCAUUUUUAAUGUGUUUAUUUAUUUUUGAGAGGGAGAGAAGGGACAGAGCAUUUUGAGAGGGAGAGAGGGAGGGGCAGAGAGAGAGAGGGAGACACAGAAUCCGAAGCAGGCUCCGGGCCCUGAGCUGUCAGCACAGAGCCCGACACGGGGCUCGAACUCACGCACCGAACCGUGAGAUCACGACCUGAGCGGAAGUCAGAGGCUUAACUGACUGAGCCACCCAGGCCCCCUCAAGCCUCCAUUUUAAUUGAUGUCUGGGGUCCUCACUAUGUGCCAGCAACGGCGUCGUAUGCCUUAUGUGUAUCAGCUAAUUGAAAUCUUCAAAACGAGCCUGUAGUAGAUACUAUUAUCCCCUUGUGCGGGGGUAGGGAGUGGGAGGCCGGGCGGAUCAAGAGCGCGGGUCUUUCCCCCUAAGCAACACCAGCUUCCGAACAGGUAGAAUGUUUCGCUAGCCUGCCCUUACGUUGCAUUCUGGUGAUGGCCUCCUGGUUCUGCCAGGUUCCAGAACAGCGUCUUCCUUCUUCCUUCUGUCUGAAUGUGUUUUCCUCUGAGCUGGCCCUCUAAGCGUGCUGUCACUGCAGCCACCUGUGUCUCCUGGCAGAAGCCGGAAAGGCAGAGCUAGAGGAGGGGCUCCCAGGGAAGGGGGCUGGGGAGACCUUGAAGCUUCCCGCUCUCCCUUGGCGUGGAGGUCCCCGAAGGUGUGGUCUGCCCCGGACGCUCUAAGUAGCUGGCCACCAAGCCACCCUUGGGCACAAACGCCAUCCCUGUCGCUGCACACGGAACUGAAUCUCCUAAAAGAACGCAAGCUGUGACGGAACGACAGAGACGGCGCCCUCCGCCGGGACAUCUAACUCGGUUCCGAGUGCGCAUUUGUGCAGAAGUAGAGGCCGCGUUCGUAGACGGUCAUGGGCGGGAGGGACCAGAAAGGGCACCCGGUUCAAUGCCUUAUGGGACUGAGGGGGAAAGGUGGACCCAGACAGGGGAAGGUGCCCAGAUCCCCGGCGUCCUGCCCCCGCGUCCCCUUGCCGGGCUGGAGGACUCCGUUCCCUGAGGACAGGAGUUCUUUCCCUAAGACAGGGACCAGGACUCCGUUCCCCAAGAGAGAGAGAUGGAAAGACUCCCGGGAUGAAGGAGCCUUCCACCCUCUCCGCGUGGGCUUGUUUUUCAGAGAUUCACGGACAUACAUUUCAGUUUUUUCAAAAUGAGUGCUUAAAAUUCAAGCCUCCUUUUGUUCCGCUUGAUCCUGGAAGAAUAAUUUUAGGGAUUUCAAGAUCUCACUUAACAAGCUUUACAUCUUGAUGAAAUGCUGAUUUUCAUAUUGUUUCCCAAACUGCACAGUUGCAGAAGCCACUGCCAAGUGAAAGCAGGAUAUUUCGAAGGAAAGCAUUUAAAAUUUAAAUCCCUGGUGACAAGUCCGAGGGUGGACGGAGCGAGGCGCGCAGCAGUGAGGUUUCGCAGCCCGCGGAGAAAGGCGGCAGAGGCGAGAGACGCUGGGAGGGUGACCGGGGGGCCUAGCUCAGCCCCCGCUGGCUGCGUGACCUCCGAGGACAGGUCAGCCCGCUCGGAGUCCCCAUGUGCGGAAUGGGCUUGCUCGCGCUUGCUUUACGACGCCUGCGAGACAAGAUGUGUGGAAACUGCUCAGUGGAGCUGAGCCGCCAAAUACAAUUCCGUCUGUAGACGAUGGGAGAGUCUGGGCUGGCAGCGACGGUCCGGCUAGUUGCUGUGGCCUCCUGAGGUGCAGGUGACAAGAGACAAGCUGGAGAAAAGCCAUGCCUUCCUCAGACAGCGCCGAGCGUUCUGAGUGUCGACGGCGGCCUUCAGUUCGGGGACGGUGGUAAAGGAGUGGGGGGCUUGGGAGACAUCGUGAUGGAGGAGGAAGAAUUUGACCAGGAGUCAGGAGAGGGGCCUCCAUGACUGGCGGUGUGACCGUGAGCGGGUCAGCAUCCUCUGGGGCCUCGGGCUUCCUGCGCGGACACGGAACUAGUGGGUCAGAAAUCGCAUUCGGCAUCUGGGUCAUCGCCACUCCGGGUGCACCGAAUAAACCUUUUUCGAGUGAAUGAAUUGGUGAUGGCUGUCCUGGGCCCCGUGUGGAGAAGAAUCGGGAGGCCUCUUCUCGGCGCAGCAGGAACAAGCAGGAGCGGCCAAGGGCAAGGUUGGGGUGGCGCAAGGGCUUCACUUAGGGUCAUAGGCCUGACUUUGGACUAGAUGAGCUCUCAGCUCCUGCCUGUGGUGAACAUCAGGCUCUGUGUCCACACAACAUCAGAAUCGCCCGCCGGAGAAGGGCCGCCCCAUACAGCUGCACAGGCUGUGCCCUGCACAAAUCCAGGGGGCACCCUUCCCAUCGCCCACAGGGAGCAUGGAGCCUCCCGGUAUCCAUGGGGCACAGUGGCGCCAGCUGGGAGACGGCAAUGUGCCACCAAAGGAGCACUGGCCUGGGAAUCCGGAGACCUGGCUUCCAGCCCCCCUGGGUCAGGGUCAGCCGCCAACUCCCCGUAGGGCCAUAUUCCGGUCCUUCCCCCUCUGUGUUCAAAUCGCUGGCUCCUUAGGGCUCUCCCUGGUCCAGGUUCUUGGAUGUUACGAGGGUUCUGUUUGCUCUGCUACAUGGCCAGGCCUCCAAUCUGGGCAACUGGAACUUUUUUCUGUGCAGCUGCAAAGCCAGGCUGACCCUUCGGAUCAGGGGGAAUUGUGGGGGGGCGGGCUUCCGGCAGAAGGUAAUGCCCCUGCCAGCUCCGAGACGGUAGGGUGCCACCCCAGGCCCCUUGCCCCCUCUCAGGAGCACACAGGUGGCAGUGACCUUUGGAUACGAGUGUGGGGUUGGUCCCCAGCCUUCUAUCCCUGCUCAAGGGAUGAGGCCAGCCCCUCCUUUGCUCCUGUCCAUCCCCCAAUGUCAUAGCAGUCUGCUGCACAUGCCCCUCUGUGCCCUCCCUCUGAGCCUCUGUGUUGGCCAUUCCUUCUGCCUGGAAUACCUUCCCCUUUCCUCACACCUUAUCCAGCAAAGUCCCACAUGAGCAUGAGCGUCUCAGUGAGGCAUAGCCUGACUCCCUCCCUCCCGGAGGUAACUCCUCUCCCCUCCUCUCCAUCUCUGCCUCUGCCGCAAGCCUUCCCUACAGAGCACUGGACGCUGCAUUGGUGUUGCCUUGUCCCCCCAGUGCCUGCGAGCUCUUUCGGGGGGUGGGCAGACAGCUGCACAAAAUAGGAAGAGACCACUUCUACGAAGCACUGACCACGUGCCUGGCCUGUGACUAAGCACUCCGUGGGUAUCGUUUCGUGGUUGUGACUAAACUGGACUUCAUUUUAGAGAAGAGGGAACUAAGGCCCAAGGUCACGGCAAGUAAGUGGCAGAAUGGGAUUCCAGCUGUUUGUUGCCUUGGAGCCUGGAGGACCAGACUCCUCUCCUCGGCCAUCCCUCACUCCCUCUCCAGGGCGGGGACCGGUCAGGUGGUCCUGGAGGAGAAGCUAGACGGAAACAUGACCCAGUGACAGGAGCAGUUUUCUGAGGUUGCUGUUAUCUGCAUAGAUCCGCUUGUGGUGCACUGAAAUAAAUUCCUUCCAGGGGGAUUUUUCCUUCCUUUCUUCUUCCCUUCCUGUCCCUUCCCUUCGCUUCACUUCCCUUCUUUCUCUCUCUCUCUUCCUUCCUUCCUUCCUUCCUCUCUCUCUCGCUCUCUCUCUUUCUUUCUUCUUUCUUUCUUUUCCUCCCCUCCUCUUUCCUCUUCCUCUCCUCCUCCUCCUCCUCCUCCUCCUCCUUCUUCCUCUUCUUCUUCUGUGUGUGGCAAGUGUUAAAACUAGUUUUCAAGCUCUGUUAAUGAAUGCCAGAGUGAUUAUGUUGAUAUCCCCAUCAGUUAUGCAGAAAAUCAGGUAACCAGACUAUUUACUUUAUGUAAUAGAUGUGUGGGCUUCUCGUUCACUCUCUGAAAGAACAUUCCUGAAAGGGUCAUUUUUUAUUUCCUGAGAUGCCUUUUUUCCUAAUUGCUUGAAGGUUUGAAAAUUGCUCCCUUUCCCCCAUUUUCAUUCUGUGCAAAUGCAUUUCCUCGUGUCACAUUUCCCUGACACCUCCGGUCCCCUGGAGAAGCAGGGCCCCUCCUCCAGCCUCCCACGUGCCUUCUGUCUCACCAGGAAAGCCUCCGCGCGAUUCGAGAUUUCAAACCAACUUGGAAGAAAUAAAGCUCCUUUGGUUUUCUCUUUUGUAAACAGAUUUGACAAAACGAAGUGGGAAGAGCCCCAGACCGCAUAUGAGGAGAGCUGGCUUUUAAUCUCAGCCCUGCCUUGAAUUUGCUCAGUGAUGGCCAGGUCCCUUUUCCCUUCUGUUUCUUUGAGUGUACAUCGAGGGACGAAGACAAUCUGUGGGUCUAAGAGGAGGAACAAGGGCCUGAGAAUGGAAGGUCCCGGAGCCAGAUUUUACUGGAUUUUGAGGAAAUCUCUCUCUCCGAACUCCCCACCCGCCCAGUCUGCCUAGUGGGAUAAUCCCAGCUGUGACCGGGCCACCCUCACGGGAAACUCUGCGACCAGGGAGCCAAAUUGUGGAAGGGUUGGCCCAGGCAGCUCCGGGUCCUUGGCUGGAGGUGGUCGGAGGGCUUGUCUACCCUACAAAGCAGCAGUACCCUUUGCUGGGUGCCCCUGCCUUGCAAACCACGUGCUCACGUGCCUGUCCACAGGUGCUCCUCUUAGGUCCUCCCCCACCCCUCGCGAUAAAUUUUACGGAUCUGAGCUGAGCGCACCCUCCUUUUUCUUAAUUUUUAAGUUUUUCUUUUUUGAGAGAGAGACACAUGUACAGAGAGAGAGAGAGAGAGAGAGAGAGAUACGUGAGGGAGGGGCAGAGGAAGGGACAGAAGCGCAAGCAAACUCCACACUCAGUGCAGAGCCCAACGCGGGGCUCCAUCCCAUGAACCGUGAGAUCACGACCUGAGCCGAAACCGAGAGUCGGUCGCUUCACGGACUGAGCCCCCCAGGCGGCCCUGCGCGCACCCUCCCUGACCCAUUUGGGUCUUGGAUUUCAUCCGACCAUGCUGCAAAACAGAAAGAGCCCACAGGUUUUCCUAAAAGUGACCCCGUCUUCACGGUGGCUGCAAAGGGGGCAGGCCAGCCGAACGGAGAUUCUCCGGACUCGUGCCUCUGUCUGUCCUUUUUGAACACCGUGUAUUUCCAUCCUAAGAAGAGCCAGUCUUCGGAUGCGCCUGGAUGGGCGCAACUGAGCACAUAUUAAACACACGAGCCAGAGCUUUCAGUCACCCCCUGAGCUGGCUCAGCUGGUCUGCCCUUGAAGUGCCCGUUCCUUCCCCUCCCGGGGAAGCUCCCCAGCACUGACUGUCCCCAGGCCCAGCCUCCCGCCAGCCAGCAUGCAUACACGGAACGCGUCACGAGUGGGAAACAAACUUCUGCCGUGUGAAGCCGCUGACAUUUUAGGGUUCGUUGUUAUAGCAGCCAGCACUAGCCUAGCUGAUUUGCUCGGUUGGCCUCUGACCACUCCCUUACGUAACUGCCCACGUGUCUUUCUCACCAGACUGGGAGCUCGGUGAGAAGGGGCCCAGUCUGAUUUGCCUGUACGUGUGGAGGGUGAUGCUCGUGUCUGCAACACGUGUUAAUUGAACGAGUGGAAGUUGAAACGUGCCGGCUGUCGAAAAUUGUAACCAGAAAGAGAAGCUGGACGUGUUGUUUGACAUCUUUCCCGGGAAAACGGGACCAGAAAUCCUAGGAGGCUUCCUGGAAGAGGUAACUAGACCAAUGGCAAGGGAAGGACAAGUCCUUUGGCAGGGACCACGGCAGACAUGUGGGGAGCUGAAACUGAAGGCAAACUGGCCUGUAUGGGGGAGGGAUAGGGUCUUUGGGAGUGAGAGAUGAAGCACCGUAAAAAUGACUGGGAGAAAAAGGAAGGAAUGGAGGGGAGCCUUAACUCUGGGCAUGCCCUCUGCACAAGUGCUCUCCCACCCCUUACCCUUUCUCCGCCCCAGGAGGACCUCUCCGAGCUUUUACAAAGGAGCCUCGGAGGCUGAAAUAUUUGCCCGAAGCCAUGCCAUGGGGAGACCUGGUCUGUUCCCACCCCAAGGCCCUGCUCUUCCCUUCAUCACACCCGCAAGACGGGACUGCUCUACAGCAGAGAGAGGGGGCCACCUCCCACCCGGCCCCAGCCUCUCCUCCUCCCAGGUGAGUGGACUGGCAUGACUAGAGGAGCACUCAGAAUCAGGACACCUGCGCCUAGGCCCAUCCCUGCCUGCGACUGGUCACCUGACCGUGAAACGGUCCCUUCUGUGAGGUUCAACUUGCCCCUCUGAAAAACGACAGAUUGGGGCCAGAGGACCUCUGAAGGCUUCUCGCCGCACAGGAUCCCCGGCCCUGGGCAGGAGCGUGUGAGCCACACUCUCACGUACGAAGGAGAGAGGCCUUUGCCAGUCCCUUACCAGGGAGGGCUGGGAAGCAGGAAGACCGUGGUGUGGGGACAGAGUCAGAGCAGUACAGCAGGAGGAGAGAUGGGCCCUGACGGCAGCUAUGUGUGGCCCUGGGAAGUGGAAAAACCCAUCUGGGGAAAGAAGGUGCGGGCUUGGGGUCAGCAGCCCCAACUGUGCCUGCCGAAGAGCCCGGGCUCAAGCCCUCAGUGAAAAAGAGGGAGAGCUCUGCUUCUGUGAGGUCUUUUAGUUGCAGGAGAUGCACACAUAAACGUCUCUCUCUCGGAGCCAAGUGCAUACCGUGAAUGCUUUUGACAGAAUGGUUCUCCUUCAGCAUUCCUAGUGAUUGAGAUAAGUACAUUUAUUUCCCUCCCCAUCACCAUCUUCGCUGCUAGAGUGGAUGCCUUUUGGUAAUUUACUUUUUCGUCGAGUCUUUCAUUCGGUGGAUCUUUAUUGAGCACCUGGCAUCUUCCAAGUUCUGGGCUCGGUGGCAGAAAUACAGUGGCAGGAAAGUCAGUCUUCGUGGAGUUGGCAUAGCGGGCUGACCAGGCAGUGAUAGUGGUUAAAUAUACAAGACUCUGUAAGCCAGGAUUUCCCUAGAAGGCAUGAAACCAGAGAGAUACUGAGACAAUGGCCAGAUAGAGGGCCUUACUUGAGGUAGAAUGCCCAGGGAAGGCCUCUCUGGAAAGGGCCGGCCGAGCUAGGAUGUGGCUGGUGAGAAGGAAGCAGCCGCACAAGGAGCUGGGAGGAGGGGCCUUUGUAAAAAGACCCAAGAGACCCCGGGGAAGACCGAUGCUGUCUGGCACCCAAGGCCACUGAGCUUUUGCUACUUACUGCCUGGGGCAGAGGCAUUCUGGGGACAAGACCCCCAAGGAAAGGCCACGACCAGGCAAACUCUCUGGGCCACAGGAAAUCACAACCUCUGAUUCCGGCGUCUGUCCUCAUCAGUCCUGAUGUUUGACAACUAUUUCCUUCCCACCCCUGGCCCAGCCUCCAAGUGCAGAAACCCCGGAGCACGCCAAUGAAAUUGAUUUAGUGCUGGCGGUACAUUCUCUUCCCCAGCCUCGGGCAGGAGAGAUUUACGGCUCCUGGAAAUACUGCCCCUCCCUGCUUCCUGUAAAUCUCCCACCACAUUUCGGGCGGCUGGAGCUAUUUGGGUAACCUUUAUCUGAACCAGAACUUCCUCGCCAGGAACUUCAGAGGGUACCUCCAGGAAGGACGGGAGAACCCCAGGGGCUGGCUUGUUUUGGGGAGGAUUCCAGGCCUGCUGAGGACAGCUGCUCGGCAGGCAUCAGGCAGAGAACAGAGUUCUUCUUUGAUGCCGUGACUGCCUUUGUGGGGUUGGCACAAAACCCCAAAGGAGCAUUUAGGGUUUAUGGAGGGCGUGCGGAUAGGCAGUGCGUUAUUGAGCCUGAAAGCCGGGCCCCUGGAAAUAAAAAGGAUUCGGGGAAUCGUCUGAGGCCAGAUGCUCGGGGCUGCGAGGGAGCUGUGCAUUGUGGGAGAAAGACAACGGCUUUGAGUCAGACGGGUCUUGCAGAUGUUAUAUUAUAUUAUAUAUCAACGUGUUCACGGGCUGUCUGCCUGCCUGGAAUCUCGUCUCUGUGAGGCCAGGUCUUUGAUCAUUCCCAGAUAUAUCCACAGCACCUAGAACCACGCUUGGCUUGUCAUUAGCACUCAGUAAGUAACUGGUGAGUGCAUCGGUAAUUCCAGAAUAUAUUCUGGCCCCCCAGUGUGUGACCUUGGGCAAGUCACUGCCUCUCGGAGCCUCAGUUUUUUUUCUCUAAACAUUGGGAUAAGGACGGAUCGAUCAAAAUGUGAAAGGAGCUGCUAUUUGCUUAGACACGUUCAGUAAAUGUUCUCUCCCUUCUCUUUCCUCUGCUGCCUCUCUCUGAGGCCUGGGACUGAAGACAAAAAAAAAAGCCUGGCUGCUGUGCUCUCAAAGCGGUAGGCGCUGAGCCUCCCGGGGUGGGCACCUCCCAGGUCACAGGGAGACCUCACACUGGUCAGGUCACUUAAAACGUAUGUUUCUUUGGGAUUCUGGGACCGAGAGAUUUUUAAAGUCGCCUGGUGCACAGAGGCGCUGCGGAAGGGCUUAGUGGGGGGUUCGGGGACCUUCGCAGCCCUGCAGGAGGCUGAGGGAACGGACAGCCCGCCGCGGUGGCCGCGAACUGCGGGUAAGGGCACAGCACUCUGAGUUCCAGGACAGAGUCCCCCUGAGCAGCUGCCAGGCGGGAAGCCUUCUGGGACCAGCUCUUCCUUUGAUCAAAGGGAGCGGGACGCGUGCCCCCGGAGCACCCACGUCCCCUGUCUGAGAGUGCGGUCCCUUCUCCAAGUGCUGCCGCCCCAGACCUCAGAGGCCAGGUCUGCACCUUCCUCCUCUUCUUUCCUAGGCUCCUUUCACAGAGCCAGGUGACACAGGAGGGGCGUAAGAGCGGUCCCACCUCCCCCGGGGCCUGUGGUGACAUUUAUCCCGAACAGGCUAGCCAGUGGCUGCUGUCUUUGCCCAGAAGGAGUAAAAGGAGCAACACUGAAAUUGCUUCAGUAAACAGCCCAGUCAGAGCAAACCCCGGGCCUCAUUAACCACAAUUAGGAUUUCUGCUCUGACUUCCAAGGAACUCAGCUUGGGACCCAAGACUGUUUAUUUGAAUAAGACCGUGGCCGGGGCUGUGGGAGGGGAGGGACAGAGGUGGAGGUGGAGGUCAGGCGGCAGGCGUUGGAUCUUUCUGUCAUUCUGGACACUUUAAUAAUGGGAAAACCUUUGACCUGAGCCCUCCCAGAUCCCUGGAUUCCAGAACCCAAAUGACUACAGGGACGGCAGUUUUGAAUCUCCCUCGAAUUCUUAAUUGAAUGGGAUAAGGUACCCAAAAGUGCCCUGGGCCUAGCAAGGACUCAAGAGACGCUUGUUACCUCUUCGCAGUUUGGUCACGUCUAAAGCACAAAAAGGAAAGCUCAUUUUUCACUAAAACGCUUUGUUCGGGUCACGGUAUCUUUCACUUGGCCAUUUUUUUUGUUUUCCCCUGUAUGAAAAGCAAACAAGCAAAUGAACUACCAGAUCUCUGAUAGUACGGCUUAUCUUUUAGGUUCUGAAUACUGCAUUUCUUCUAGCAUUCCUCUCCCCCGCCCCCUGAGAUUCUGUUCAACCUAAUUUGUCCCUCGGAUCCUGGGAGCCCCGUCCACUUCCGUUAUCCCGCACGGCGGUGACAGAGCUAACGUUUUUCUUAGGGCUUUGCCGUUCGCAAGGUCUUUCUUUUCCUCCGCAUAGCUUUUCUUGUCGGAGCCUCCCAAGAGUCAUUUCACGUUAGUGUUAUUAGUGUUUUCACUUUAGAGCAGAGCAAAGAGAGGUUCCGAGAGGCUAGGGGGUCCUGCCCGCUGUCUUCAGGCCAGUAAGGAGCUCCCUGACCGCGAAGCCAUUCAGCUAACAACCACUUACGGAGCACCUGCACAGUGUGGGCACUUGAGAUACAAAAUGAAUGACAUGGUCCCCGCUCUCCACGUGCUCGUCCUCUGGUGGUUUAUUCGGCUGAAUUUCCGUGGAUCUCUUCCAGCAGCUUGCACCGGACUGGACGGGGUCCAGUUGCUGGUGUUGGCUGGUUGGCUCGGCGAAUGAGCGAACGUGGGACGUUUCAGGCUCCGCCAGCUCCCACUGGGCCGGGGCUGGGGCUGGAAGCCUGUGUGCUGGGGGCACGGCACUCACACUCUUAGGACCAGGGAUCAGAGCACGGCUGGCUCCACGUGCCCCCCUGGUGAACCACAGAGUCGGACGUGCCUAAAGAGGGUAGGAGCCAGACCCGCAGACCAGAGAAGACCUCUGCCUUCAACCUGACCCAAGGGUCCUCGGGCCAGGCCACCCAAGGUUCCGAAUGGGCUAACAAUACUAAUGGACAACCGCCCUGGGUCUGAGCAGAGUCCACGGACACAUUCAUCCAAUUCUAAGUGAAAAGCAGGCUUUAUUCCCUGAAACUUGAAUGAUUACCUGCCAGCCUAUAUGUUUUUGUAGAGAUCUAGAAAAUAUAGCUGGAAGGUUGAUUAGAAGUCAGCAGCAAACUUUCUUUUGUUGGGUGAGAAAGCAGGCCAAAAGAGAGUUUGUCUAAGCUCAUUUGGCAUAUUCUAGGACAUAUUGUAAGAUGGGGCUGGAGACCGGAAUUGGAUAGGGAAAGAGUCUCAGCUCUCCGUUGACUUCCUGUGUGACCUUGAGUGCACCCUCUAUCUCUGGGCCUUAGUUUUCCAUCUGUAAGAUGGGAGGUGGUCACUGUAAUCCUUCUAGCCCUAAAAGGUAAGUGAAUCUAGAUUUUAUACUCCAUGUGCAAAGAUUAGGCUGUAUGGAAUAUUAGGUACCAAUGUAAUGAGCUACGAUAAUCACCAGGCGGAUACGUUACCUUUUCUCUGAUUAGGUGAUCUGGAAAGGGGAAAGGACCUCCUUGUAAUGGUGAGUUGAAUUCAUGCAGGCUUUUAAAGAAGUUUAAAGAAAGGCCUUUUAAAGGAGUUGAAAGAAAGGCCUUGUGACAUAGAUCAGUACCUGGUCAAUGCCAGGCUCUCAAACAUUUGUCGAAUGAAUGAAAGGGAGUUCCAGGUGUGGGUUCUGAGGAGGCCUGUCUACAGAUGGACGUCAACUGGUCAAACAUAUGUAGGUCGCUGGGAGCUGGUGAGUGCAGAGAUGAGGGAUGGAUAGGUAAAUGGGCACAACAUACACCCGAGACCCCGACCUAAGAGGCUCCGUUGGUGAUGUUCUCUCUGAGGAGUACCUGGGGUCCGUGCUCAGAGCAGCCCAAGGUAGCAAGCCAAGCCCUAUUGCCACCCAAAGGGCCCCCUUUGUGUUCACCUGCUUCAGACCAGGGGCCUCUCCUUGGCCGCUGUGGUCCCUUGUCCUCUGAGAGCUCUCCGGGGACAUGCCAUGGGGAAACCCCAGUGGAGCGUGAAGGUUGAGAGCAAAGGCCCGUGGGAGGAAAGCACAGACUUGACCAGUCCAAAUCCUCAGCCCUCAGAGCACACGCUCAUCCCUCCCCACUUAACUUCUUGGGGCUCCCAUGGAAACUUUUCCUUCCCUCUGCUAUAUUCUCACCUGCUUCUCAUGCAAGUGUGUGGUUGGCGGUUUCCCUUGCUGAACUGGGAGGCUGUGUGUCGUCUCCAUCCCAGCGCCUUCCCUGACUCAGGGCCAGGCUGGGUUCAUGGUCAUGCAAGGAGUGGCCGAAUGAAUAAAUGGCUGAUUCUACCACCCACAGUGGGUGGAUCCCCAAACGGCAAAGGACACUGAGUAAACAAGUGUGGCCCUCCAUUGUGGUUGAUAACGUUUUUCCAAAUGGGAAUAACAGUGUGUAUCUUACAUCAUGGUACGGAAAAAGGUUUUAGACUUGAACAGGAAUACUUUCUUUAGCAAAAAAACCUUCGUCUUUGCAUGACCCUUUCCAGUUUUUAAGGUUUUAUCUUGAUUCUCUCAUUUUGUCUCAGAGCAUCUUUGGUAGGAAGCUGGGAUGAGGAUCAUCAUCUCCCAUCUGGGG